CCUACGGGGGGCAGCAGUGAGGAAUAUUGGUCAAUGGACGCAAGUCUGAACCAGCCAUGCCGCCUGCAGGAAGACGGCUCUAUGAGUUGUAAACUGCUUUUGUACGAGGGUAAACGCAGAUACGCGUAUCUGUCUGAAAGUAUCGUACGAAUAAGGAUCGGCUAACUCCGUGCCAGCAGCCGCGGUAAUACGGAGGAUUCAAGCGUUAUCCGGAUUUAUUGGGUUUAAAGGGUGCGUAGGCGGUCGGAUAAGUUAGAGGUGAAAUCCCGAGGCUCAACUUCGGAAUUGCCUCUGAUACUGUUCGGCGAGAGAGUAGUUGCGGUAGGCGGAAGGUAUGGUGUAGCGGUGAAAUGCUUAGAGAUCAUACAGAACACCGAUUGCGAAGGCAGCUUACCAAGCUACUUCUGACGUUGAGGCACGAAAGCGUGGGGAGCAAACAGGAUUAGAUACCCGGGUAGUC
rnacentral:rRNA from 1 species